GUUUAACGGCCGCGGUAUUUUGACCGUGCAAAGGUAGCGCAAUCACUUGUCUUUUAAAUAAAGACCUGUAUGAAUGGCAUAACGAGGGCUAAACUGUCUCCUCACCCCAGUUAAUGAAAUUGAUCUUCCCGUGCAGAAGCGAGAAUUAACCCAUAAGACGAGAAGACCCUGUGGAGCUUUAGAUAAAUAGAUGAUUUUAUUAAUACUAAGCCCAAUAAAAAGCAACAAACCAAUAACCUCACCUUGCAUCUUCAGUUGGGGCGACCGCGGAGUAAAAAAAAACCUCCGUGAGGAAUGAGGUAAAACCUUACACCUAAGAAUGUCAUUUCUAAGCACCAAAAUAUUUGACCUAAAGAUCCGGUAAUAACCGAUCAACGAACCUAGUUACCCCAGGGAUAACAGCGCAAUCCUCUUCAAGAGUCCCUAUCGACAAGAGGGUUUACGACCUCGAUGUUGGAUCAGGACAUCCUAAUGGUGUAG
rnacentral:rRNA from 1 species